rnacentral:rRNA from 1 species
GACGAACCGUGCGAACGUUGUUCGGAUUCACUGGGCUUAAAGGGCGCGUAGGCGGACGGUCAAGUCAGGGGGUGAAAUCUUUCAGCUCAACUGGAAAAGUGCUUUUGAUACUGAUCGUCUCGAGGGAGGUAGGGGCAUGUGGAACUUCCGGUGGAGCGGUGAAAUGCGUAGAUAUCGGAAGGAACGCCGGUGGCGAAAGCGACGUGCUGGACCUCUUCUGACGCUGAGGCGCGAAAGCUAGGGGAGCAAACGGG